AGAAGGGAUUGUUUAUGAGGGUCAAGGAGCUGGAGGCCUGGGGAGGAGCUGGUGUUUCUGUUCAAGUUUGAGGGUCCUGGAGCUGGAGCCCAGGGGAGGAGCCAGUGCUGCCACUGAUGUCUUAGGGUCGUGGAGCUGAAGAUCCCAGAGGAGCCGGUGCUGCUAUUCUAGCUUGAGUUUCGUGGAGCUGGAGACCCAGGGAGAAGAUGGUGCUGCUGUUCUAAUUUAAGGAUCGUGAAACAGAAGACCCAGAAAGGAGCUGGUGCUGCCGCUGCUCAGAUCUGAGGGUGUUGGAGCUGGAGCCUGGGGGUGGAGCCAUUGCUGCCAUUGAAGUGUGAGAGUCAUUGAGCUGGAAGUCCAGGAAGCAGCUGGUGCUGCUGUUCUAGUUUGAGGGUUGUGGAGUGCAGACCCAGGCAGGAGCAACAUUGCUGUAGUUCGAGGGUCAGAAAGCUGGCGACCCAGGGAGGAGAGGUCUUGUUCUGGUCUGAGGGUCAUGGAGCUGCAGACCCAGGGAGGAGCAAUGUUGUUGUAAUUCGAGGGUGUGGUAGCUGGCAACCUGGGGAGGAGAAGUCUUGUUCGAGUUUGAGGCUCGUGGAGCUGCCGACCAGGGAGGAGCAAUUUUGUUGCAGUUCGAGGGUCAGGAAGCUGGCGACCCAGGGAGGAGAGGUCUUGUUCUAGUUUGAGGGUCGUGGAGCUGCAGACCCAUGGAGGAGCAAUUUUGUUGUAAUUCGAGGGUCUGGAAGCUGGAGACCCAGGGAGGAGAGGUCUUGUUCUAGUUUGAGGGUCGUGGAGCUGCCGAACCAGGGAGGAGCAAUGUUGUUGUAAUUGGAGGGUCCGGAAGCUGGCGACCCAGGGAGGAGAGGUCUUGUUCUGGUCUGAGGGUCCUGGAGCUACAGACCCAGGGAGGAGCAAUGUUGUUGUAAUUUGAGGGUUCGGUAGCUGGCACCCUGGGGAGGAGAAGUCUUGUUCUAGUUUGAGGGUGGUGGAGCUGCAGAGCCAGGGAGGAGCAGUGUUGUUGUAGUUUGAGGGUCAUGGAGGUACAGACCCAGGGAGGAGCCGUGUUGUUUUGAGUGUCGUGGAGCCGGAGAUCCACGGAGGAGCUGG
rnacentral:lncRNA from 10 species